CUCUGGAUUGCAGAUGAGUCGUUACAUAUUACUACUUUACAUGGUUGCACCUGUUCCAUCCACCGAACUGCCAUCACCUGCUCUCAUCAGCUAUGUAUCUACUAAAUAAAGGAAACUGCAGUCAAUUAGCGCACUCUAACAAAUGCUAAACACCUGCAUCCUAUCUUCCACUAAUCCUAGCCCAUCAUUAACCUUGUAACACCACAAAUAUCACCCUUGCAUAAGAUCGGGAUACACUUGCACAGACAACAAUUACAAAGAAAUACACAUAUCCUGCAUGUCAUAUGUUUCCUUUCUGCCCCCAACUGACACUAUUUCUUCUCCACCAAAUCCACCUACUGCCUUGCUCUGCUGCCUCUGACAUUUGCUUUGCAGCCUGACGCAAACUCUGUCUGCGAAUUCCUAGCUCUCCAAAUAGUGACGUAGUCGAUCUCUCUACGAAACCUCUACAACCCACCUCCACCCGAUGUACUCUUGCUCUCCAUCCUCGCUGCCAACUCUACAUAUCUAAGCCUUGUUGCGGAUCUGUAAGCUUUCCUCCUAAAUCUACCCGCAUCUCCCAAUCAUUGGCUCCCUGUAACUGGCCUGACUCAUACCUAUCUGCAAAUUUCCCUCCUCUACCUUUCCCUCCUUCUCAAACAAAAUGAAUUGCUACACUCCCAGUCCUGGUGCCUACUAAAUUCACCUAUACUCUCCUCCUAUCCAUUGCUGCAGCUAUACACUUUAAUACCUGGUUAUACUGACCCUGAGAAAGACUAGUCCUACAUCAUGACAAAAUAUCGCCUCAACGUUGCCACCUCAGAACACGCCGGGUCACCACCUACCCAUUGUUUGAGGUUCUGUGGUGAUGGCAACACAUCAUAAAUAGCCCUUAUAAGGAAACUUGCAUGUCCCGCCUCCAUACACCACAGGUUCCUCCAGCUAAACCUACUCUUUUCUACACUUUCCCAGUUCAUCCACUGUCCUUGUUUAACCUGAGCUACUACCCUUACACAUCUCACUGCUUCCUCCUGACGACAUACCCCCUCUACAUAUUCAUCAUGCAGCACUGGAUUGAAAUAUGGGUGACUUGCUUAACCAAUGACAUCAGACCAAUGCACAAGAGGAGCAGUUGAGCUGGAAAGUGACCAUUUUCACUCACUGAUUACUGGAGGUCUCUAUCAAAGGACCCGGAUGCUGCUUGUCUAUCACCAGCCAGUGUGUACAAUGGGCAUCAAAGCAAGAAUGAAGAUGACAACUGACACGGCAGGAAUCCGUGUCUUUAGCUUUCCCUGGAUCCUUGACUUCUUCAUCAGCAGACCUCAAGCGGAAUGGAUUUGCUCUAUGGCAGCAACAAACAAAAUAUUCAUUGUUCCAGUUCCAAUCUUGAGUUUAAAGGAAAUGAAUCCCAGAUCAAAACAUCUCUCUUGGUACCAAAGCUUGUCUUCAUAAACCCUUUGUUAUCUUUUUUGCAACAUUCUAAAUCAGUACCCUUUGAUCUUUGAGCCAUUCAGUGGUAAGAAUGGAUGAUCUGUGUUCCAUAUAACCAUAUAACCAUAUAACAAUUACAGCACGGAAACAGGCCAUCUCGACCCUUCUAGUCCGUGCCGAACACAUAAUCUCCCCUAGUCCCAUAUACCUGCGCUCAGACCAUAACCCUCCAUUCCCUUCCCAUCCAUAUAACUACCCAAUUUAUUUUUAAAUGAUAAAAACGAACCUGCCUCCACCACCUUCACUGGAAGCUCAUUCCACACAGCUACCACUCUCUGAGUAAAGAAGUUCCCCCUCAUGUUACCCCUAAACUUCAGUCCCUUAAUUCUCAUGUCAUGUCCCCUUGUUUGAAUCUUCCCUACUCUCAGUGGGAAAAGCUUUUCCACGUCAACUCUGUCUAUCCCUCUCAUCAUUUUAAAAACCUCUAUCAAGUUCCCCCUUAACCUUCUGCGCUCCAAAGAAUAAAGCCCUAACUUGUUCAACCUUUCUCUGUAACUUAGUUGCUGAAACCCAGGCAACAUUCUAGUAAAUCUAACCUUAUAAUGUUCUUGUAUAUCUGUUCUUGAUCUGGAACUGAAACGUGGCAUCCCUAAAACUAUUCUCGUCAAUCUUCUCUGCACCAUCUCUGGGCUUAAACUUCCUUCCUCAGGUGUAGUGGCCAUAAUCAGACCCAAUAUUCCAUUUGUGCUAUAACAGACUAAUUAAUGUACCGGUUUGACACAACUUUCCUCUGCUUCUGCCUCGGUGGGUCAGACAGCAUCUCUGGAGGGAAUGGACAUGCGACGUUUCAGGACAGGAUCCUUCUUCACCCUCAUUGGAGUAAGGGGGAGAAAGCUGGAAAAAAGGUGGGAACGGACAAAGCCUGGCAAGUAUUGGUGAGGGGGAUUCAAUUGGCAGAUAGGUGACCAAAGGCAAGAGAUGAAAAGGAGACAAAAGGAUACUGGAGGAGAGAGAAUUAGAGAAGAAAACACUUCACUUACCCAUCUAACAAUCAACCCCCAUUCACCUGUAACCACCUAUCACUUGCUAAGCUUUGUCCCACCUCCAUCUCUUUUUCAGCCUUAUACCCCUACUAUAAUCGUCUGAAGAAGGGUCCCGACCUGAAACGUUGCCUACCCAUUUCCUCCAGAGAUGCUGCCUGACCCACUGAGUUACUCCAGCACUGCUUUCCUUUCUGUUUCUCAGUUCCUCUAUACCUUCUAGAACUACACUAUCUCAUCUAUUUCUCUCACCUUAUUCCGUCAGCCAUGGUGUAUCAUUUCCCAUUUCUCUGCAUUAAAUUUCAUCUGCCACUUGCGUGCCCAUUCAGCCAGCCUAUCUCAAUAUUCUUGCAGUUUAAUAGACUCCCCCUCAAAUUUCUACCACACUUCCAAUUUGGUAUCAAUAAACAAAUUUAGGACAUUUUAAUCACAUACGACUCACUUUGCAAAUUAGGACACCAACACAAAAGCUUUGGGUUGUAGAUUGUGGAGACCAGCCAGGAAUGUAACAGAAUAGUCAGGCCUAGUGGCUACAAUCCAUGGAUAAGAGUUCCACCAGCAAAAUAGCUAAUCCUGGCAUAAAUUCAUGUAAUGCACAGAUUUAGGAAUAGAUCAACCUAGCAUUUCGAAGGGCAUGCGAUCCAAAGCUCAUCACUGAAUUUAAUAUAACCCCAAGAAUUCAAGCAAUUUGGUUGAGAGUCAAACAUGUGUCAAAGAAAAGAAUGGAUUUGAUGGCAAGGGAACUGUGGGAGGAACCAAAGACACUCGAUAUAUUUGGGUGGAGGAAAUUUCUAUUUAUCCAAUUCUAAAUAUUGGGCUGGAGACACAAGGAACUGUGAUAACCAAUUCUAGAUAUUGGUCUGGAGAACAAGGUAACAUUUUAGGUUGAGAUUGAAACAUCUAUCCAUGUUCUCCAGAAAUGCUGCCUGACCCGCUGAGUUACUCCGGCACUUUGGCUUAAUGAUGGUCUGUCAGAGGUGAAGAAAUAAUAGGAGAUAAUAGAAUAUGAGCAGCUGAGUGGAACAAAGUUAAAGGCUAAGAGAAGAAAGUGGAUCUAGACUCUUGGUCCUUGCUCUGGUGAAGAAGGUAAAACGGUGAACAGGCAAAGUGUAAGCUGCAGCUAUAUUGGACUCUCUCCAGAGAAGUAAUUAGAAUACAUAGAGUCAAAGAGUCAUGCAGCACGGAAACAGGUUCUUCAGCCCAACAGUACCACUGGUGCGUCACUAUGGCACCCACAUAAGAUUAAAGGUAACUUGGUAGUGAAAGGGAAAUAAUGGAUAAUAAUGAAGAAAUAACUGCAAGGAGUCAGAGAUUCAGUGAUUGGAUAAAGUUGAUAUGUUUGGGGUGGUGUGUGCCAGAGACUGUACAAAGGUCUAAUUAAAAAUUUAAAUAAUGAAAUUAUUUCAGAGAGUAGAUGCAGAAUUGGCCACUUCAGCGAGAG